CAACGGUGAAAAUAUGCGAUUCUGACUAACAUUUUUUAUCGGAUUCGUAUUUGCUCAUUUUUUAUCCAUUUGGCAUGAAGAAGAUAUCAUUCAACAGCUAAAAAAAGAUCUUUCCGAAUGUGAAAAAAUCUCGUUCAUACGCAGAGUAAUUCAGAUACAAUAGCGCGCUGAAGUUCGAUUACCUUUUUUUUAUACACCCUGUA